rnacentral:rRNA from 1 species
CUCGUAGGCGGUUUGUCGCGUCUGCUGUGAAAACCUGGGGCUUAACCCCGGGCCUGCAGUGGGUACGGGCAGACUAGAGUGCGGUAGGGGAGACUGGAAUUCCUGGUGUAGCGGUGAAAUGCGCAGAUAUCAGGAGGAACACCGAUGGCGAAGGCAGGUCUCUGGGCCGUAACUGACGCUGAGGAGCGAAAGCGUGGGGAGCGAACA